GUAGUACAGAUAAAUGCCCAUGUCAUGCAGGUGACUAAUUAAUUAAGCACACAUGCAUGCAAUAUUUAGGUUCAACUGCAAAUUGAAUCUUCAUCGGCCGGAAGCUAGAAGUGAUAAAAUCGUUGUCUCUCGGCAAAAUCGAUCAUCUGCAUACAAAUUUGUGUGUGCGUCAUGCGCACUACUAUCAACUUUUCUUCUUCCUUUUUCCUUGUUUCCUGCGACGGAUGGUUUUAUUUUCUAAUAAUUUUUUUUGUGCAUGCCACAAUAUUUCAUAUGGCUGCAUGCAUCGUCGGCACGAGUUACACCUAUUUCAUGUGCAUUACAACUAUUUAUUCGAUUGAUUAUGUCAAAUCUCACGUGUUCCCAGAGGAUGUAUUUUUCCAAAAGGAUUUUCUUACAGUAACAGAAAAAAAAAGGGAGUUAGCUCUAGGAUUAUUUUCUGCCAUGUAUGAUGUUUGUUCUUUGAUCUUCUACUUAGGUUUCAUCCCACCCCAAUGGGGAUUAGCA
rnacentral:lncRNA from 1 species